UGGGGAAUAUUGGACAAUGGACCAAGAGUCUGAUCCAGCAAUUCUGUGUGCACGAUGAAGUUUUUCGGAAUGUAAAGUGCUUUCAGUUGGGAAGAAAGAAAUGACGGUACCAACAGAAGAAGUGACGGCUAAAUACGUGCCAGCAGCCGCGGUAAUACGUAUGUCACGAGCGUUAUCCGGAUUUAUUGGGCGUAAAGCGCGUCUAGGUGGUUAUAUAAGUCUGAUGUGAAAAUGCAGGGCUCAACUCUGUAUUGCGUUGGAAACUGUAUAACUAGAGUACUGGAGAGGUAAGCGGAACUACAAGUGUAGAGGUGAAAUUCGUAGAUAUUUGUAGGAAUGCCGAUGGGGAAGCCAGCUUACUAGACAGAUACUGACGCUGAAGCGCGAAAGCGUGGGUAGCAAAUAGGAUUAGAUACCCUGGUAGUCCACGCCGUAACGAUGAUUACUAGGUGUUGGGGGUCGAACCUCAGCGCCCAAGCAAACGCGAUAAGUAAUCCGCCUGGGGAGUACGUACGCAAGUAU
rnacentral:rRNA from 1 species